rnacentral:lncRNA from 1 species
UCACCUCAAUCUCUUCGAACAUUACAAUACCCCUUCCAUGAACUAGACCUUGUCCUCAAGGUCGAUACUGAGCUACAAACUCAGGAAAAUGGCUUCGCAUGUACCCCCAAUCCUCCCAUGUGGCUUCCGCAGGGCUUAGAUUAGCCCAUUGAACCAGAACCUUAACCCUAGAUCCAUUAUUGAGCUUCACCAUUUUCCUCUGAAGAAUAGCAAUCGGUUGAAUCUGGACUCGUCCAUUAACAUCACAAGUUGGAGGUUGCAUCUGAGGGCUGAUUGUUUGACCUAUCCUCUUCUUCAACUGAGAAAUUUGAAACACUGAAUGGAACUGUGAACCUGGUGGAAGUUCAAUCCAGUAAGCUACUGCUCCUACCCUCUGUAGAACUUUAUAUGGCCCAUAAAAGCGAGCACUCAAUUUCAAGUUUUUUCUGAUAGUCACUGAUGACUGUCUGUAAGGGUGUAGUUUAAGAUAAACAAAAUCCCCCACUUCAAAGUGUCAAUCUGCUCUUGCAUGAUCUGCAUAGAAUUUCAUCCGGGCCUAUGCCUGCAUGAGAUUCUCCUUUAGAUGCUGCAGCAUUGUCUUUCUCUGAGCAAUACAUGCCCCAGCCUGUGUAUUGGUUGGGUAAGGUACAGAACCUAGGGAAAUUUGGGGAGGUGGGAACCCAUAUAGGGCCUGAAAAGGCGUUGAUUUCAGGCCACUAUGAUUAUUGGUGUUAUAUCACCAUUUUGCCAGUGGAAGCCGCUUAAACCACUGCCUCUGGUUAGUGAACACCAUAGCCCUUAAGUAAGAUUCCAAACGCUUGUUCAAUCUUUCAGUCUGACAAUCGGUUUGUGGGUGAUAGGAAGUGGACAUGUGUAAUUUAGUUCCCAAUGACUUAAAUAGGCUCUACCAAAACUGACUGGUAAAUAUAGCAUCUAUGUCUUUGAUAAUGGUUUUAGGUAAACCAUGUAGCUUAUAAACCUCCUUCAGGAAUAAUUCUGCCACAUCAUGUGCUGUGUUAGGAUGGCUUAGGGCUAGGAAAUGACCAUACUUUGUUAAUCAAUCCACCACAACUAGGACAAUAUCUUGUUAUUUGAGGUUGGUAGACCUUCCAAUUUGUGCUCUAUCCACCAUAUCAUGUGCUCUGAUAUCAAUUUGGAAUGUACUCAAUUUGAAAGUAGAAUAGAAAAUAGAAAUGGCAACAAUGGAGCUUUAUUGAUUGUCAAAUGAAUACACUGUUACUACUCAACUACACAUUAGUAACUAUCAACAUUACAAGCAGAAUGAGACUCCAUUGAUGAUCUUCAUUGAUACCUAUAAUGAAGAAUCAAGGAUUAGAGAAUGGGUUGUAGAAGCAGAAGAUAUUAGAAAAGAAGUAUAGAAGGAAAUUAGAUAGAAAGGAGAGGAAGAAGAAUUACCGAUCAAAACUAAUUGCUAAUCCCCCAGCAAAUUCGUACUCUUGACAAACCUUGAAGUAGGGGACAUUUAUAAGCAUAUAAAUUUUAUCAUCAAAAUAAUUUGGACUAUAUUUUAAAUUCAAGAUAUAUCGGUCCAAUAAAUACUACGAGCUAAUAUAAUUGAAUUAAUUACAUAAAUCCUAUGUAUAUGGAUUAAAUAAAUAAGUCUUAAUCCAUUGGGCUAGCCCAUUUAAUUUGGCUAAAGUGUUGAGCCCAAUUCUUUAGGCCCAAGAUGUCAUCUUCCUAGAGGCCCAAUUUGGUGUUACGUGUCAAAUGACGUGGUGCGCCCAGUCAAGCGGAAGAGCUAAUAGGAUCAUGCCACAUGUCAAAAUGACAAGUCAUGCCCGAUCAAAUUAAAAGGCCAAUAAGAUCGCGCCACGUGUGCAGGUGACAUAUUCUGGCCAAUCAAAUGCAGCCAUGUCACUCUUCAAUCUGAUUGGUCGGAAAGAGUUUGCACUUAUCAUAACUCUUCCCUUCCACAACUAUAAAUAGGGGUCUUCAUAACUCAGAAAAAAUACCAGAAGUUAUAACAAGAAGCAACAGAGGGCUCGUGGAUCAAACACCAAAAAUUUCUCUACAAGUUUCAAGCUUCAAGCAAAUCAAGUUCAAGUACAAGCUCAAGAACGAAGAACCAAUCAAGUUCAAGCUCAAGAACCAAGAACAAAUCAAGGCCAAGUUCAAGCAACCAAGCUCAAGCUCAAGAACAAAAUCAUCGUUCGUGACAACAAACAUAGAUUCAAGAUCAAGCUCAAAGGCCCUUGAAUUUAUUUACUAUUAAAAAGAAGUAUCACAGGAUCCAUAAAGAUUGUAACAUUCAAAUAUUCGAAAUAAAAAUACUACGAU